UACGUAGGGUGCAAGCGUUGUCCGGAAUUAUUGGGCGUAAAGAGCUCGUAGGCGGUUUGUCGCGUCUGCCGUGAAAGUCCGGGGCUCAACUCCGGAUCUGCGGUGGGUACGGGCAGACUAGAGUGAUGUAGGGGAGACUGGAAUUCCUGGUGUAGCGGUGAAAUGCGCAGAUAUCAGGAAGAACACCCGUGGCGAAGGCGGCUCUCUGGGCCUGCACUGACGCUCAUGCACGAAAGCGUGGGGAGCAAACAGG
rnacentral:rRNA from 1 species